GAAAUAAAAUUAUGUAUUUAUAACAAAACAGCAGGUUAUUCUGUCUAAAGAAAAAAACACAUAUCUAAUUAGGAUUUAUGGUUUUUUUCUAAUUUUUCUACCUAAGAUCUAACCACUCUCUUAAAGGUCGCCAGCUGAUUCCUCACUUAAGGGUCAAACUCAGCGGCGAGGCUGCAACACUGAAACACCGGCAUCAUUAAGACUUUGGUCUGCACGGCAGGAGAAGGCACCGUGCUCCCCUCCCGCUGCUGCCCAGGCGGGAUCUUUCAGUGCCUGGUGAUUUACUCCUCCACCUUCCCCGAGAACGCAGCCUGCCCCCGACACCACCCGCCUCGGCCUCUGUGCCCCGGCCGCUCCGUGCGGGCGCAGGGAGCGGUGUCCGGACAGGCCCCACACGGCCCUGCCAUGGCCACAGCGCGGGGGAAGCGGGCACCGCCCGCUCCGCACGGGACCACACAGCCGGGGCAUGGAGGAACGGCCACCCCGGGCAGACUCACGGGGAGCCGCGGCUACCUGCGGAGCCGGCCUGACAACAGCCUGCCCAGCGCCCGGAAGAGAAGGGCCAGCCCGGUGACGCCGCGCUCCUCCCCCGGGCCGGGCCGGGGCGGGGAACGGCGGCGGAGCCCGGGGCGGGGAAAGGCGGGGAGACGACGGAGAAGGGGCGAGCUGUGCCCUGGAAGCGGAACCGCGGCUGCGGUGACUUCCUGCCUCGGAAGGAAGGAGCGGUGGUUGAAGUUGCACGUCGGGGUCUGCGCUGGCCCGAGGCACCAGCGGCAGCCGCCCGGGAGGAUGCGGCGGGCAGAGAUGAAGCCUGGGAAAUCAUCACAUCUAAAGGUAAAUGUUUUAUGAUAUGAUUAGUGUAUGAAAAUAAUACUGUUUAAUAUUAAAAAUAUAGACAAAGGCAAAACAACAGAUCCUGUGGCAGAUAUGAGUAAUUUCAGCUGCCAUUCAAAAUGAAUGAAAAAUUGUUCCUUUAAGUACUUUAAAUAUAAAGUAUUAUCCCUUUAAGUGUUUUAAAUAUAUUCUUAAAUUUUUGUGGGUUUUUUUCAGUUGAUAAUGGUGUUAACCAUUUAAAAGUAGUAUUAGG
rnacentral:lncRNA from 1 species